UAAAAAAAAUCUCUCCUCAAAAUAAUGAUUCUCAAUCAUCUCCUUUCUCAAAGAUUUUGAAAUUCCCAAAUACCUUUCCUCAAACCGAUUUUUAAACAUACAAAAUUCAAAGCACCAAAAAUCAUUUAAACAUGUAAUGCAACGAAUAAAAUUAUGCAACUAGCACCUAUCAAAGCACUACAUAAGAAAAUAAAAACAACUAAGACGAGAAGUAAGGAAAGAUAUCACCUUUCCGGAUCCAAACUUGUCGGAUCUUUGGUUUUCUCGGCUUGUCG
rnacentral:lncRNA from 1 species